AGAGAGAUGGCUUAGUGGUUAAGAGCACUGACUGAUAUUCCAGAGGACCUGGGUUCAAUUUCCAGGUUGUCUG
rnacentral:tRNA from 1 species